rnacentral:rRNA from 1 species
UGAAAGCCCGGGGCUCAACCCCGGGUCUGCAGUGGGUACGGGCAGACUAGAGUGCAGUAGGGGAGACUGGAAUUCCUGGUGUAGCGGUGAAAUGCGCAGAUAUCAGGAGGAACACCGAUGGCGAAGGCAGGUCUCUGGGCUGUUACUGACGCUGAGGAGCGAAAGCAUGGGGAGCGAACAGGAUUAGAUACCCUGGUAGUCCAUGCCGUAAACGUUGGGCACUAGGUGUGGGGGACAUUCCACGUUUUCCGCGCCGUAGCUAACGCAUUAAGUGCCCCGCCUGGGGAGUACGGCCGCAAGGCUAAAACUCAAAGGAAUUGACGGGGGCCCGCACAAGCGGCGGAGCAUGCGGAUUAAUUCGAUGCAACGCGAAGAACCUUACCAAGGCUUGACAUUCACCGGACCGCCCCAGAGAUGGGGUUUCCCUUCGGGGCUGGUGGACAGGUGGUGCAUGGUUGUCGUCAGCUCGUGUCGUGAGAUGUUGGGUUAAGUCCCGCAACGAGCGCAACCCUCGUUCUAUGUUGCCAGCACGUGAUGGUGGGGACUCAUAGGAGACUGCCGGGGUCAACUCGGAGGAAGGUGGGGAUGACGUCNAAUCAUCAUGCCCCUUAUGUCUUGGGCUUCACGCAUGCUACAAUGGNCGGUACAAAGGGUUGCGAUACUGUGAGGUGGAGCUAAUCCCAAAAAGCC